rnacentral:rRNA from 1 species
GAACGCUAGCUACAGGCUUAACACAUGCAAGUCGAGGGGCAGCAUUGGAGUAGCAAUACUCAGAUGGCGGACCGGCGCACGGGUGAGUAACACGUAUCCAACCUGCCGCUUACUCGGGGAUAGGCCUUUCGAAAGAAAGAUUAGUACCCGAUGGUAUAAAGAGUUCGCAUGUUCUCUUUAUUAAAGAAUUUCGGUAAGCGAUGGGAUGCGUUCCAUUAGAUAGUUGGCGGGGUAACGGCCCACCAAGUCUACGAUGGAUAGGGGUUCUGAGAGGAAGGUCCCCCCACAUUGGAACUGAGACACGGUCCAAACUCCUACGGGGAGGCAGCAGUGAGGAAUAUUGGUCAAUGGACGAGAGUCUGAACCAGCCAAGUAGCGUGAAGGAUGACUGCCCUAUGGGUUGUAAACUUCUUUUAUAAGGGGAAUAAAGUGAGGGACGUGUCCCUUUUUGUAUGUACCUUAUGAAUAAGGAUCGGCUAACUCCGUGCCAGCAGCGGC